GCGAGUCGCUCGCUGCCCCCGGGUGCGGGCGCGCAGGACCAGCAGCUGCCCCCAGCCACGGGCGCGCCACCUGUUUCCGCCUGGGACUUCCCCCAGCCGGCUCCGAAGUGUGGAGUCAGCAGCUUGGCCUGGCCCGGCAUCAGGGGCCCAGCGCAGCCCUACCCCACCGCCGCCUCCCGUGAGGCCCCGCCUGGAAGAGGCGUGGACUGCACCCUGGUGCGCGCGUUCUGGGCUUGGCCUUGAAAAUCAGGAUGGCGAUGACCGCUGAGCAGUGAAACCUUUGGGAAACCUCAACCAUCUGGAAGUCAGAAACUCAUUUGGGGCUGGCUGCGGCUUCUAGAACAUCCAGGUGUUCUGCAGAUGCAAGAGUUUAUCCCACAGUCACCAGAUCGAGUCCCAGACAGCUGCAAGGCUUGUGAUGUGGCCUGAACAGCCUUAAAUACAGAGGGGUCACUUGUUGAGUGGCCAGAAAGUGGUCAUUGAUACUAUACUAACCGUGAAAACCAGCUGGUUGUCUUGUUAAGCUUCAGUGGGGAAACAUUUCCCAUAGAAGGACAAACCAAGUUA
rnacentral:lncRNA from 1 species